rnacentral:lncRNA from 1 species
AAGCUUUACUAUAUCAAAGCUAUUGAAUUAAUAGAGGUGGGUUCGAACACGGGGAAAGACUGGUUAUAUGAAUUGGGUCUGUUAGUGUCACAAUUGAUUGUACUCUAGCUAUCUGAAAUCAAUUAUCAAACUACAAAAUACCAAGGCUUACUACUUCUAUUUUAAUUCAACAUAUAAUCCAUUCUAUGACUAUCAAUUCAACAAUACUUCUCUUAAUCACAAUUCUUCAUAAGCAAAUAAUAAAAGCAAAGAAAACAAAGAGGUAGCACCAAGCUUACCCCGGCUUAUGACUCUCACAGUCUGGCUCUUGACUUAAGACUCUCAAUCUAUUUAUCCUACCAAAAAGAUGAUCCAUCAGCCAG